CGCUUUCCACCUCUCCACUGCCACCACCCUUCACAAGCACGCGCGCACCUAUUCGCCGGCAGCCCUCCUUGAUUGAAGCUACGAGCGACGCCUCCGUGACCGCGUCGCCUGCAAUCCGCAUUUUAUUUUAUUUUUUUUUUCGUUGCUUGCCGGCUGCUUCACUGCACCUGAGCUCCACAAGGAGGGAGGAGGAGAGGGUGGCGCGGUCGCUUGAUCAAGCCUCUUCCUCUUCCCCUUCCCCGCCCCGCUCAAUGGUGUUGCUAUCAUCCAUCCACGUUCGCAACGCUCUGCGCUCCUCGUUCCGCUGAUGAAGAGAGGCGCCUCUGAUGUGCCAAACAGCGCCGCAAACCCCCUCGUCUGUGCUGAAGGAUCGCACGCCUCGGCCCCUCCUCCUGCCGCUCUGCAGCCAAACCUGCAUGCAGCAUGUCCCGUAGCGCCCCACACCCGUGGUAUCGUGCCCAGCGUGGCAAGAGGCGGCGGCGGUGCGCCCUGGCCGGCUAGUGCACUUCGAUUCACGUGCUGUCGCUGCCGGCGCUCGUUGGUGGUCCCCCCAGCAAUGCAAAGUAGCGCUGCACCGAUUCUGCCACCAUCGCACGGGCUCGCCUCGCUGUCGAGCGGUUCCGCGGUUUCCGUUGAAGGGGCGCAGCCGCAUGUCUUCUGCUUGUCGUCAGAGGCAUCCACAGUAGAGAGUGCCGUACGCGGCUCGCACGCGACGUGCGGUGCCGGUCGCACCUUCCGCCCCCUCGUGCCACCAGCGACGGCUCUGGGCAACGAGGAGUUUACAGCUCGAUGCAAGGGCACCUGUGAUGCUAUCGCUGGCGUACCGGCCACCGUCACAUCGACUGGCAUCUUUGAGGAGUGCGACCAACUUGCCUGCAGCACCACCGCGCACUUCACGGACGAGGCGCUUCUCGACGCGUUGCCGUCGCACUUCUUCUCCUCAGCGGAGCUGCUGACCUCAUCGCACCUGGCGGAUCUGCUCUCGCACGCGCAAGAGAGCUGCGCUGCUGCUGCCCCGAUGAGCAUGUGUGCGGAGAGGACCGCCACGAGCGCCCGCGCGCUGACAUCGUCGCCUCCGCCACAUUCCCCCAGUAGUGCCGCUCCGUCUUUUGCGCCCGCCGUCCCCUCAGAUGCUGCGGUGCUGAACGUGUCGCAGCUGGCCUCCCUAGGUGUGCCGAUGCGAAGCGCGACGAGCAGAGACGCGGAUGAGGCAGAGGAUAAAGAAGCUCGUGACACCCUUGGCUCAGGUGCGAUGCUGCGACUACCGGUCCACUCGAUGCAGGAGACGAGCAGCUCCAGUGCAGCACACCAAGACAGCCAACCUCACUUCACACCCGCUGCCGAGCACGACGGCGAGCGCACUGACGCGCGCGCGCGGACGCCCCCUCCACGAGACCCCAGCACCGCCAUCCGACCGCCGCAGUCGCCCGCGGAAGAGGAAGCCCGUACAACGCUUGUUACGCCCAGCUCCGUCGACUCUGCCGCCCCGUGCACGCUAGCGACACACCCGCUCGUGGCGGACAACGUAUGCGCGGACCUUCCAGCGUCCAGCUCACGGACAUCUUUCUCUUCUCCCCCGCCACCCGAACCAGCGCCGACGUCUCGCCUUGGCCCCGGCAUGAACGCAGCAACACCGGAAGGCGAUCCUGCAGUCCCCGUGCCCUUCGAUGAGCUCUGCCGCCGUUGGAUGCGUCUUCUCGCCCGCACAGCGGUACCGCAUGAGCAGCCGCUCUGCAUCGACUGCUGGCGCGGUGCAUGUCUUGCCCCGCUGCAGCAGCGCACGCGACUCUCGCUAGAGGGCAUGAAGACACUUGCCACAAUCAUCUCGAGCACGCCGGCUGAAAAGCUUCGCUUCUUCACCAUGUGCUACACCGAACCGGCAGCGGCGCCGUUGCGGGGAGCCUUCGCCACUUCAGCCGGCUUGCGCCGAGGCUUUGAUGAGGUCGAGAACGGGCAAGCAGUCGACUCGAUGGCAGCGGCUGAGAACCUCAGUAGGGCCCUGCCGCUCAUCUCACUCGACGCGGUCGCCGCGAACCUGUUCGGCGCUAACGAGGAAGGCUUGCUGAGUUCGCUAGAGGCGCUCUCGACGCCUCACGGAAGGUAUUUCCCACCAACGCGAGGGGCUGCCAGAGCGCUGAAGCCGUUGCCGUGCUCCUCGGACGCGCCUCUCGAGCUACGUGAUGCUUCUCACGCAGAAUACGGCGACGACGCAGAACAGAUGAUGGCGGAGUUGGAGAGACUGCGGGCCCAACAAGCGAACCUGGAGCGGCAACUCGCGGUGCUGCGAGAUGUGCUGCAUUCCCUGGAGUCCAAGACCCACCCUCACAGCAAUCGCGGGGAACAGUUCCGUGACACCGUCGCUGCGCCACCGUCAGCGGUGACACCACCAGGAUGGAAGGAGCUGGCGGUGGCGCACAACAUACGCGAGGUGCAGCGCGCCUUCACCGUCAGCGAUGAGGCAGCAGAGCGGCAGCACGCCAUGGAGGACCUCAUGAAAAGCUUCGCCUACGUAUCCUCCACGCCGAUCGAUGCCCUCUGCUUUCCGAUUGACGUCUCCGGCCCCGUCGGGCUCAUUGCAGGACUGCGGCUGGGUCUUGUUCCACCGUACUCUGGGUCCAGCAGCGGCCGCACCGGCUCCGGUGACGGCGACGUACGCGGCGGCGGCGCCUCAGUAGCAUGCACGAUGUCGGCGCUGCCGCCGCUCGCCCAUGCGGCCGUGUCUGUGUCCGAGGAGAGCAUGCACCUCGACGGUUUUGUGCAACGCCAGCUGGGCUACGCCCAGCUCCUGCUCAGCGGCAACACGAGCGCCGACGGCGACGGCCACAGCGACGCCGUUAAGAAGAGGAGUAGCGAGAGGAGCACUGGCGUGAAUGGGAGUGCGUCUUGUGGCGAUGCGGCGCCAACGGCAGCAGCGGCUUCCUCUGCCCCGGCAUCGACCGCGGCAGCGAAGGCGAGCACGCGCGUGUCGCCGCUGGAGGUGAACGCAGCGUGCGGUUAUAUGCUGCUGCUGCUGAACUACCUGGCACACGUGAAUGGCUUCUCGUUCAGCACGGCUGUGCUGCGGCCUGCCGGGGAUCGAAGCACGGUAGCGCUGCUGAAGCGCGUGCCGGUCUCUGCCAGCGGCGCGAAAGAUUGUGGUGGUGCUGCCGCUGCGACGAAGUCCUCGGUCUUCUCUCCUUUUACACUCAGCUACUUCACCAGGAAAGGUGCCGCUUUCACGCAGGCCUGCGGCGACGCGAAGUCGGCGAGGGCGACGGCAAGGUCCUCGGUCGCACAUGUGGUGGACCACGAAGUCGACUUCUACCUCACCGACCGCCUCCUGGCGUGGCGGACGUUCGGCGCCGCCUGCGUGGCGGUGGCCACGUGUGUGAAGGAGCUGGCUGAUGCGCUGCAUGAGAGUCUCCGCUGUUGGCGAGUGCGGGAGAGCAUGGUGUGCCGACCUGCACCAUCGGCGGCGCCAGCUGCGCCUUCAGGCACGGUAAAGGGCACCGAGGACGCCUCCGACUUUGGGACCGCACCCGCAGCGCCCGCUGAUGCGGGAAGCCUCGAAGGCGCGCAAGCCCGCCGAGAUGGGGCCGCUGCCUGCAAGCAGCCACGGGCACCUGUGCCUUUGCCCCAACUCUUGCAAAACUUGGCUGGCACCAACGAUCAUCUGAUCAGCGCAGCGAAUGCACUGAGCAGCAGUGCGCCACACGUGAGCGCGGCCGUUCUCGACACGGCGGGAAGCCUGGGUACGACGCCAGCGGUACGCGGCAACGAUUUGAGGAAGUCUGCGAGCACGUCGUCCCGUCCGCAGCCACCGCAGGAGGCGCAGUCUGCGCAACGCCGCAGCUCCCCAGCAGUUGGGGGGAGGUUCCCGCUUCAGCCUCCCUUUCGAACGCGUGGCGACACCGUGGACGGCUUCUCUGUGCGUCACGGCAGCGUCUCAGAGGCGAUUUGGACCCUCGGCAUGAAGAAGCUCCUGGCAAAUGUGCAGUGGUGCAGGGAGGCGACGGUGGAGCUGGAACGGCUGUAUGCCAUCACCGGGGAGGCGGCCAACGAUGGGGCCGACGAGCAGGUGAGUGAGGAUGACGGAGAGGUCGCUGGGCAGGUGGACACCAUCGCCGGCAUGAGAAGGGAGUAGUUGACGCGCUGCGUGUGGGCGCCUUCGUGCAUUGUGGGUGCGUGGAAAGCGUCCAAGGAGAGGUGGCGGCGACGGUGAUGGCAAGGGGUCCCGAUCCGGCGCCCGUCAUCCACAGAGAAACACACACAUACACACACACACAGAGACGGUGUGUUUAGUUGAUCCGUCUCCGGCACUCUCCUCAGUUUGGUCGUAUCGCCACCGCCUCUCUCCUUCCUCCCUCACCAUCACCGCCUUCGCUACGCCUUGCGCGCAUGUUGUCUUCUUGAACCACCAUGGCGCCGUCGCGGGAUCAUGUCUUGCCUCUCGCGCUUCUCACGCCUGUCCAUCAGCGUGAAAAGAAGCACGCCAGCACACGCACAUACGCGCGCUCGCACGUGACUCGGAGAGGACGCGUCGGAAGGCAGAGAGGGGGAGGGCACCGACGACGCAAGCUGAAUCCGCGGCCUGUGCAAGCACGCAGCGGGCGGGUGUGGCAAGUCACUGCCCUUGCGUUCAGCGCUGGUUGGGCACACGACGGCCAGCACGCAAAAAAAAAGGCCCAGAAGCGGCGCAACGUCCGAUUCUGGGCUCUGCCCGUCAGACGCUUACGGUUUACGUGACGACGGCGUUCCCAAAGCUGGUCUCUGUGCCUGUGAGUUUGUGUGUUUGUGUGUGUGCCUUCAGUUACAUCGAUGAC
rnacentral:misc_RNA from 1 species